UACGGAGGGCGCAAGCGUUGUUCGGAAUUACUGGGCGUAAAGCGCGUGUAGGCGGCCAGGUAAGUCGGAUGUGAAAGCCCGGGGCCCAACACCGGAACUGCACCCGAUACUGCCUGGCUGGAGUCCCGGAGAGGAUGGCGGAAUUUCCGGUGUAGAGGUGAAAUUCGUAGAUAUCGGAAGGAACACCAGUGGCGAAGGCGGCCAUCUGGACGGUGACUGACGCUGAGACGCGAAAUCGUGGGGGGCAAACAGG
rnacentral:rRNA from 1 species